UACGUAGGGGGCAAGCGUUGUCCGGAUUUAUUGGGCGUAAAGAGCGUGUAGGCGGCCAGGUAGGUCCGUUGUGAAAACUCGAGGCUCAACCUCGAGACGUCGAUGGAAACCAUCUGGCUAGAGUCCGGAAGAGGAGAGUGGAAUUCCUGGUGUAGCGGUGAAAUGCGCAGAUAUCAGGAAGAACACCUAUGGCGAAGGCAGCUCUCUGGGACGGUACUGACGCUGAGACGCGAAAGCGUGGGGGGAGCGAACCGG
rnacentral:rRNA from 1 species